rnacentral:rRNA from 1 species
UAGAGUUUGAUCCUGGCUCAGAAUCAACGCUGGCGGCGCGCUUAACACAUGCAAGUCGCACGAGAAAGUGGAGCAAUCCAUGAGUACAGUGGCGUACGGGUGAGUAACACGUGGAUCAUCUACCUCUUGGUGGGGAAUAACCCUGGGAAACCGGGGCUAAUACCGCAUAAGCCUGCAAAGGGAAAGCAGCAAUGCGCCGAGAGAGGAGUCCGCGGCCGAUUAGCUUGUUGGUAGGGUGAUGGCCUACCAAGGCAAUGAUCGGUAGCCGGCCUGAGAGGGCACACGGCCACACUGGCACUGAAACACGGGCCAGACUCCUACGGGAGGCAGCAGUGGGGAAUCUUGCACAAUGGGGGAAACCCUGAUGCAGCGACGCCGCGUGAGCGAUGAAGCCCUUCGGGGUGUAAAGCUCUUUCGGCAGGAACGAUAAUGACGGUACCUGCAGAAGAAGCUGCGGCUAACUACGUGCCAGCAGCCGCGGUAAUACGUAGGCAGCAGGCGUUGUUCGGAAUUACUGGGCGUAAAGAGUGUGUAGGCGGUUCUCUAAGUUCCGUGUGAAAUCUCCCGGCUUAACUGGGAGGGUGCGCGGAAGACUGGAGGGCUGGAGUAUGGGAGAGGAAAGCGGAAUUCCUGGUGUAGCGGUGAAAUGCGUAGAUAUCACGAGGAACACCUGCGGUGUAGACAGCUUUCUGGACCAUCACUGACGCUGAGACACGAAAGCGUGAGUAGCAACAGGAUUAGAUACCCUGGUAGUCCACGCCCUAAACGAUGCAUACUUGGUGUGAGCCGUUCAUUCGGUUCGUGCCGGAGUUACGCGUUAAAUAUGC